rnacentral:tRNA from 1 species
CAGUUGGUAGCUCGCCAGGCUCAUAACCUGGAGGUCGUUCGUUCGAGUCGAGCCUCCG